GUCGAGCGCGCGUGCGCGCGGAGGAGCUCGGCGGCCUGGGCAGUUCUCCGCGCGCUUUGGCCUCGCGCCGGGGCCGCCGCCCCUCCCCCACCCGGCUCGCUGGCUCCCUCACCCUCUCACCCGCCGCCUCCGCCCGCCGCCUCCGAGGGGGAGAGGUCUUGCCGCCGCCGCUGCUCGAGCUCCCGAGUCCCUCGGGCCUGGGGCCGCCGCCUCGCCUCGCCGGUCCGCCCGCCUCAGCCGACGCCGACGCCUCCUCGCUUCCUCAGGGGCCGCAACGGGCUCCAACUGCGCCACUCGCACCCCGCCUGGGCCGCGCUGCACGUCAGCACGACUAACUGCGUGCGUCAGCACGCAAACGCGCGUCGCGGGGCCUGCCGGGAACUGGAGUGCGCCCCGCGGCCUUUUGCGCAGGCGCCGAAGCCACACCGCGAAGUACCGUUUUUUCAGGCACAAGGAAGGUUUCACCCCGUUGCCGAAAGACUAAGCGUCCCGUUGGCCAGUGCAACGAAGAACGGAGGAAGCGACAAGAUUUCAGUUUGUAAGUAGUGAGAGCAAUGAUCUUGGCUUUGCAUGGUGCUCAGGAAGCCUUCCCCGCUCCCAAACCAGAAAGGAAUCCAUCCAGAUUUUCCUCCACUGUCUGGAUGGCCGCUCUGUGGAUGCUUCCAUCUGUAUCCAUUGCCGGCACCUGGUGAGAUUCCGUCUCUAGAGCCUUUGAGGUCACUCCUGACGCUGACAUGGCUGUGAAGAGCUGGGUGCCAGGCAUUACUGCCUCCAAGGUUGCUUUGCGAGGAAUAGGUGGGGCAUCAGGAAGAAGCCAGUUGCAGGCAAGGCCUCUGCUGAUGCUGCUUUUUUCUCCUGUACCCAUCCAUGGGAGGGAGCUGUGAGAUGGCCUGGCAGAACCCGCUCUUGGACCCCACAGAAUGAGAGGCUCACCCUGCACAGGAACAUCCUGGGGCAGCAGGCUCAGCACAUUUUAAAUUUUGAGUAUGAACAAAGUAAACUUCAGGGUUAAAAAAAAACACAAA
rnacentral:lncRNA from 10 species